GCAGUCCUGGCCGAGUGGUUAAGGUGAUGGACUAGAAAUCCUUGGGGUCUCCCCGCACAGGUUCGAAUGCUGUCGAAUGCA
rfam:Ixodes scapularis strain Wikel colony gcontig_1108378927884, whole genome shotgun sequence.